AUGGCGUCCGCCGCCACCACCUCCACCCCCUCUAUCUUCUUUUCUAUUCGGCGGUGGCGGCCGCGCCGCGCGCCUCUUCGGCCCGUCGCCCAGACUGCUACAUCGCCGCUACCCAUGGCGUCCCCCGUCCCCCACCUCCACCCGCGUCUCCCAGGUCAGGGUCCACGCCGCGCCGGAGGUGGAACGCCCCCGGCUUCAUCAAGUUCCAGGCUGACACGAUGCACAGCUCACCAAGGGCCUCGCCGCGCUGCUCGUGCUGGCUCGCUGGUGCGCUCGCGAGGGAUGUCGCCAUGGCGCGGUUGGAGUUCAUCGAGAUGCUCGGGACCAUGCACAACACUUGGGGGCCGGCGAUGA
rnacentral:rRNA from 1 species